GAUGAACGCUGACAGAAUGCUUAACACAUGCAAGUCAACUUGAACUUCGGUUUGGGUGGCGGACGGGUGAGUAACGCGUAAAGAACUUGCCUCACAGAUAGGGACAACAUUUGGAAACGAAUGCUAAUACCCGAUAUUAUGAUUUUAGGGCAUCCUAGGAUUAUGAAAGCUAUAUGCGCUGUGAGAGAGCUUUGCGUCCCAUUAGCUAGUUGGAGAGGUAACGGCUCACCAAGGCGAUGAUGGGUAGCCGGCCUGAGAGGGUGAUCGGCCACAAGGGGACUGAGACACGGCCCUUACUCCUACGGGAGGCAGCAGUGGGGAAUAUUGGACAAUGGACCAAGAGUCUGAUCCAGCAAUUCUGUGUGCACGAUGAAGUUUUUCGGAAUGUAAAGUGCUUUCAGUUGGGAAGAAAAAAAUGACGGUACCAACAGAAGAAGUGACGGCUAAAUACGUG
rnacentral:rRNA from 1 species